UCAGUAUUUUUUUCCGCUUUCUCUAAAACUUUCAAACCCUAGCUAUUGACUUCAGCAGCUCAUUCACCUUGUCGACCUCAUCGUUCUCCAAGCUGACCUGCGUCGAGUCCCCGCGCGACCUCCUUCUCCAACCUGACGUGCUCCAAGUCCCUGUCCGACCCAAGCCGACUGGAGCCACUUCCGACCUGACCCCGAGUCCUCGACCUCGCUCUCCAUCCCCGUGUUCCCCUGCCUCGCUCUCUGACCCCGAGUCCCCGAUCUUGUUCUCCAGACCUCGAGCUUGAGAUCUGAUCUGACCUCGAGCUUAUCAGCGGACCUGAGCUUGUCAUUCUCCAACUUGAGCCAGCUCUAGCUAGUUCUCCAACGUCUAGUCUCAGGAAGAUCCUAGAUUGAAGGUUUUCAAGAAGGAGUGGUUUGAAGGCAAGGACUGUCUUGACAUUGGCUGCAAUUCUGGGAUCAUCACUAUACAAAUCGGAGUUUACGGUUGUGAUAUUGGGUUUGUGAUCAACAAGGAGAGGGAGACGAAAUUUGAAAUUAUGUUGAAGAGAGCAGGAGAGCUACAGGUUUGGAGGGAGAGUGGGUGCUUAAGGGUAAGUUUCAUGGAUCAUUUUCUUCUGUAUCUUUUGUUUGAGUGGUUAAGAAUGACUGGAAUUUGGAAGGAUUUUUUUUUUAAUCUAUCUGAUGAAUAGUGAAAGACUGAAAGACCUGAUUUCAAUACUGAAAGACUGUUCGUUUUUUGUUCCCAAUGGCUGCAGUCACCUCCUCUUCUCUCUUGAGGAACUGUGCAGCAACAACUGUGAGAGCUUUUGUGACUGUGAAAGCCUCCAACCCCAAUUUUAGAACUUUCCUUCUUCCUCUUCACUCUCGCAGGUCCCUGUGUUGUGUUAGCACUACAAACAAUGAAGAGGCUGCUGCCAAGGUAGCUGCAGCAAAUGCCGACAGAGGAGCUCCAACAAUGUCAAUUUGUUUAUCAUCUCCACUUGCAUCUCCUUGGUCUGAUUUUUUUUUUCCUUGUGGGUAUUAAUACCUGAUUUCAAUACUGAAAGACUGUUCCUUUUUUGUUCCCAAUGGCUGCAGUCACCUCCUCUUCUCUCUUGAGUGAGAGAGAGGAGGAUGAAUUAGUUUGGGUUUCUUUUGAAUCAGAACACGAAUCCCAACAAGUCCUUCGAGGUUUAAGAUUUGGUUCAUCUACUUGUUUAUACUGUAAACCAGUGAAGCAUCUGCUGUUUCACUAGGGCAUCUUGUCCUAUUGUCAAAUCAGUAGUUUAUGUGAAUAUAUUUUUGCAAAAUCUCUUUCUCAGUUUAUAGUUAUCACUAAUUUCAUGUUAUUUUGAUAUCUUUAUUAGGUGAAGAACUUGAGAGCUGAUGAACUCAUGGAAUUUUACAAAGGAGAACAUUCCUGCAGUGUUACGUGGGCUCUGAGUUCUUUUAAUUUACCCUCAGGGAGAACAUUCCUACAAUGUUAUAAGGAAAAAAAAAAAGAGUGCAGAUAGUUUUGGCCUUUUGGGAUUCCAUCUUAACACAAAGUCAAUGAAGCAUCCAACUAUACCCAAAGUUCCAUAUCCCCCAAGAUAAGAAGAUCAAGUGCUGGUUGUCAUGGAAUUGUGAUGAGCUCCUACUCUUGUCAAAGUGAAGCUUGAAGAAGACAACAAAGAAGCUUUGCCUUAUUUGUUUCUCACAGCCAUGUUUAUUGGAUCAUUAUGAAUAAUUGAUCCAUUCCAUUUUGUAGCCAAAUUGUUUUGUAGUAGGUGAAUUGGAGUUUUAUUUUGUCCAUUUUGUAAACUGUUAAGGAUGAUGAUUUCAGAUAAAAUACCUCAAUAUUCAAAUCACUCUUGUCAACUUUUGAAAUUGCAAUUUAUAGCAGCAGCUACAUAUUUUGUGGA